rnacentral:rRNA from 1 species
AACGUAGGAGGCUAGCGUUAUCCGGAUUUACUGGGCGUAAAGCGCACGCAGGCGGUUGUGUAAGUCGGACGUGAAAUCUCUCGGCUCAACUGGGAGGAGUCGUUCGAUACUGCGCAGCUUGAGGUUGGGAGAGGGAAGCGGAAUUCCCGGUGUAGUGGUGGAAUGCGUAGAUAUCGGGAGGAACACCAGUGGCGAAAGCGGCUUCCUGGCCCACACCUGACGCUCAUGUGCGAAAGCGUGGGGAGCGAACGGG